AGCGAACGCUGGCGGCAGGCUUAACACAUGCAAGUCGAGCGGGCCCUUCGGGGUCAGCGGCAGACGGGUGAGUAACACGUGGGAACGUACCAUUUGGUUCGGAAUAACGCUGGGAAACUAGCGCUAAUACCGGAUACGCCCUUUAGGCGACAUGCUUGCUGCCGAAGGAUCGGCCGGCGCCUGAUUAGCUAGUUGGUGGGGUAAAGGCCUACCAAGGCGACGAUCAGUAGCGGGUCUGAGAGGAUGAUCAGCCAAACUGGGACUGAGACAGGACCCAGACUCCUACGGGAGGCAGCAGUGGCGAAUACUGGACAAGGGGCGCAAGCCUAGUCCAGCCAUGCCGCGUGAGUGAUGAAGGCCUUAAGAUUGUAAAGCUCUGUUGUCCGGGACGAUAAUGACGGUACCGGAAGAAUAAGCCCCGGCUAACUUCGUG
rnacentral:rRNA from 1 species